CACUGUUUGCCAUUACCACCGCAUUUCCAAAUGAACUGACACACAUCGCGGCCGCAGCUGGGGGUCAGCUGCGGCCGCAGGUUCAUUUGGAAAUGCGGUGGUAAUGGCAAACAGAC
rnacentral:miRNA from 1 species